CAGCAAAUAAUUUAAGUGAAAAAUACUAAUUUUGGAAAUUAGAAAUAAGAACCACCUUUUUGCUGA
rnacentral:tRNA from 1 species